UGCCAAGUCGACUGAUACCAGACUGGCGCCCCUUUUGCUGUAAAUCUUGGCUGUCUUGUCUCCUCAAGGUUACAGCUGGUGCUGUAAAACUUCUGAUCUUGGCAUUCGAUGAGGUUCUGGUUUUUCUUAACACAACUGGUUACAUACAGCUCUAAACUAGAUACUCAUUAUGUGGCUUCAAGUGUUAGUUCGUUAGUAAGCCCUUAUUAUGUGGUUGGUUAACCCUGAAAAUGUUAGCUCCCUCUAUCAAUAUAACCUCAUAAACAAGUUUCAGAACUUUUUACGUAGAACUUAACCACCUUUUCCUUUUUCCAGGUUCAGAGCCCAAGCCUCAUUUGGUUGUAUCUGUAAACAUUAAACAUCUCAGCACGAAUCACAACUGCGUUUCUCACGACAGAAGUGCCUGAACUCCACAGCUUGCCUGGCAGUGCAGAGAGCAGGAAGUGUGGGAGAUGAAGGCACUGAAGGCAUCGACCCUGCUGCUGCUUCUCGAUCUCUUCUCUUUCGGUGUUUACCACAUGGGACGACUUGGUGCCUUAACCCCCUGGAGCACUGCAGACCUGAGCGAAACCCUGCCCCUGCCAGACCAGCUCUGUAAGCUCCAGGAACAGCUUUAUCAUCUGCGCUGGAGCACUAAGGAUGUGGCUGAGCGGGCUCUGCAGGAAGGCGUGAAGCAGGCAAAGCUCCCAGGCGUUACCGGACGGGUAAGGGCACAAGGCAGAAGGAUCUGCUCAGGGGUUUUAUCCUCCAUCCACAUGUAUGCUACUCCAUUCCCUGUCACAGCCAACAGGCUGGUGCUGCUGGAACAAGUGCUGUCAUGGCCACGCUUCCUUUUCCUGUUGCUCCACACUUCCUUAUGGGGGAGAGAGAGCGUGACGGGAAUGACAGCUGUCUGAGUCAUACCUUCCUCUGCGCCCGGAUCUCGGCUCCUCCUCAAGGGAGGACUGGAAAGAAAGAAUGGUCUCAGGUGGGACAGGAUUUGGCUGGCCUCGGCAAAACUCCCAGCACUUGUCGGUUGGUGAGGGAAGAUGUGCUGGAGCUUGUUGGUCGCAGGCCAUGGGAAGGAUGAAGGCAGGAACCUUACUUGGAGGGAAUGGAGAGUGCUGACUCUAUGUUGGUAGGGUUGUAAAGCAGUUGUCCUGUAGGAGGGGGACUCUUGUUCUUGCAUGGGGAAGAUUGCUUGAGUUGGGGUGGUAACUGUUUGAGAAGGUGUCUUGGCAUUAGCCAAUCUGUAAAUGUCUAGUGUACAGUGUAGACCAAUCACCUGUAACAAGGUAACAGAAACACCAAUCAGCUUGAAGCACGUUGCUGAGGCAAAGUAUAAAUGUAUGUGAAGUACACUAA